UACGGAGGAUCCGAGCGUUAUCCGGAUUUAUUGGGUUUAAAGGGUGCGCAGGCGGGAGAUUAAGUCGGCGGUGAAAUUUUGCAGUUCAACUGUAAAAGUGCCUUCGAAACUGGUUUCCUUGAGUGUAGAUGAAGUAGGCGGAAUUUGUGGUGUAGCGGUGAAAUGCAUAGAUAUCACGAGGAACUCCGAUUGCGCAGGCAGCUUACUAAACCAUAACUGACGCUCAGGCACGAAGGCGUGGGGAUCAAACAGGAUUAGAUACCCCGGUAGUCCCUGA
rnacentral:rRNA from 1 species